AUUGGACGCUGGCGGCAGGCCUAACACAUGCAAGUCGAGCGGAUGAAGGGAGCUUGCUCCUGGAUUCAGCGGCGGACGGGUGAGUAAUGCCUAGGAAUCUGCCUGGUAGUGGGGGAUAACGUCCGGAAACGGGCGCUAAUACCGCAUACGUCCUGAGGGAGAAAGUGGGGGAUCUUCGGACCUCACGCUCUCAGAUGAGCCUAGGUCGGAUUAGCUAGUUGGUGGGGUAAAGGCCUACCAAGGCGACGAUCCGUAACUGGUCUGAGAGGAUGAUCAGUCACACUGGAACUGAGACACGGUCCAGACUCCUACGGGAGGCAGCAGUGGGGAAUAUUGGACAAUGGGCGAAAGCCUGAUCCAGCCAUGCCGCGUGUGUGAAGAAGGUCUUCGGAUUGUAAAGCACUUUAAGUUGGGAGGAAGGGCAGUAAGUUAAUACCUUGCUGUUUUGACGUUACCAACAGAAUAAGCACCGGCUAACUUCGUG
rnacentral:rRNA from 1 species